CGUUCACCCGAUGGGCUGUGUUGCCGUCCGCUGGUCAGUUGGUGUGAGCAUUUGUGGGACAUAAAAGGUAAGCAUGAGUUUUCAUGCUUGGACUUUUGUAAUUGUGUAUCAUGGUGUGACAGGAGCCGUGAUGUUUCAUUCACAGCGUGGUCUGCUGCUGGCGUGGAUAUAUUAGAGGUGCUUUAAGUGUGGUGUUGGCUCUUCAUCAUCAUCAUCAUCAUCAAAAGACGGUGACUGGUUUGGUCUUUGCGUAAAGCUCACUUCGCUCUAGUGGGCUGGCUGUUUGGUUGUGUUUUUAUUUAUUUGUUUGCUGCAUGGUAACGUGCCCUACUUUCUCUGUAGCUGUUGAAGCCACAGGUUAUGGCUCUCCUCUGUGGCUCUCCUCUCCUCGGUGCUCUGUGCGAGGCUCCACUUCUGCUCACUACGUUGGUCGCCAGCUGGGCAUCCUAAAGGACGGCUUUCCUAGUCCUCCAGCCCCGGUGUGGCCACUCCGUUUCUCUGCUGCUCCUUUGGAGUCCCAUACCAUACAAAGAACUGGUUAAUGCCCCACCACAACCUAUUUCUGAGUUUAAUUAUUUCCUUUCUUUGGUUUGUUUAGCAUAUAGGCUAUCUAGUAAAACUUUUUAUUUUGUUUAGUUGGGUUUGGUUGUUAUUUGGCUUAAGUUUUUUUUUUUUUUUUUUUGAAACAUUCUUUUGUUUAGUUAAGCCCACAGCUGAGGUUCAGGUUUCGUUUGUUUUUUUCAUAUUAAUAAUUUACAUAUUAAUAUCAAGAAUAUGUUUUAUUUAGUUAAUUAUCCAGUAACAGUAUUAACAGUAUUACAUAUUGCUUUUUGAGUGACCAACCAUCAUAUUGAUUUUCUUCUUUUUUUUUCAGGAGCUUGCGACAGACUUCCCCGGUGAUGGCCUCCCCCCUCACUCCCUUUAGUUUGCCGUGGCACGUGGUGGUUUGGUUUGCAGUGAUUUUCUUUGGUUUGUAGUGGUUUUCUUUUGUUCUGAUUUUUUUUCCUUUUUAGUCUGUUUGCUUCCAAGUCUCCUUGUUCCCGCUUUUGUUUAUUUACUGCAUUUGUUUAUUGGCAAUCAGACGAUUUUUACUCAUAUUUGUGCU